rnacentral:rRNA from 1 species
UACAGAGGGGGCAAGCGUUAUUCGGAAUUAUUGGGCGUAAAGGGCGCGUAGGCGGCUUUUCAAGUGACGGGUGAAAGCCCUCGGCUUAACCGAGGAACUGCCUGUCAGACUGGAAGGCUUGAGACCGGGAGAGGUGAGUGGAAUUCCCAGUGUAGCGGUGAAAUGCGUAGAUAUCUGGAGGAACACCGGUGGCGAAGGCGGCAUCCUGGACCGGUAUUGACGCUGAGGCGCGAAAGCUAGGGGAGCAAACGGG